GUGAUCCGGGACAGCCUUCUUCCUUCGCCCAGCCGCCACAGUGAUUGUCGUCAAGUCUGCUACAGGAGGAUUUUAUUUUGGUUAACCUGCUUUUCUCCUUCGCAGGUUGUUUAUCAAUAUUUGUGUAAUUUUAUUUACUCCUAGAAUUUCCGCAUGUGUUAGAAGUAUUUAUUUGAUUAUGGUCUGUAAUAUUAUUAUCA